rnacentral:rRNA from 1 species
AGAGCGAACGCUGGCGGCGUGCCUAACACAUGCAAGUCGAACGCCCUUUUGCUCGCAAGAGCCAGAGGGAGUGGCGGACGGGUGAGUAACACAUGGGUAACCUACCCCCCAGUGAGGAAUACCGGCGAGAAAUCGCCGACAAGACCGCAUAGGCUCGGUCCGGUGAAGCGGAGCGAGCAAAGUCUCGCAAGAGACGCUGAGGGAUGGGCCUGUGGCCGAUUAGCUAGUUGGUAAGGUAAAGGCUUACCAAGGCGACGAUCGGUAGCUGGUCUGAGAGGACGAACAGCCACACUGGGAUUGAGAACGGCCCAGACUCCUACGGGGGGCAGCAGUGAGGAAUUUUCCGCAAUGGACGCAAGUCUGACGGAGCAACGCCGCGUGCAGGAGGACGCUUUUCGGAGUGUAAACUGCUUUUCUGUGGGACGAGAGUGGACGGUACCACAGGAAGAAGCCCCGGCUAACUACGUGCCAGCAGCCGC